rnacentral:rRNA from 1 species
GAUGAACGCUGGCGGCGUGCCUAAUACAUGCAAGUCGAGCGAACAGACGAGGAGCUUGCUCCUCUGACGUUAGCGGCGGACGGGUGAGUAACACGUGGAUAACCUACCUAUAAGACUGGGAUAACUUCGGGAAACCGGAGCUAAUACCGGAUAAUAUAUUGAACCGCAUGGUUCAAUAGUGAAAGAUGGUUUUGCUGUCACUUAUAGAUGGAUCCGCGCCGCAUUAGCUAGUUGGUAAGGUAACGGCUUACCAAGGCAACGAUGCGUAGCCGACCUGAGAGGGUGAUCGGCCACACUGGAACUGAGACACGGUCCAGACUCCUACGGGAGGCAGCAGUAGGGAAUCUUCCGCAAUGGGCGAAAGCCUGACGGAGCAACGCCGCGUGAGUGAUGAAGGUCUUCGGAUCGUAAAACUCUGUUAUUAGGGAAGAAGAAAUGUGUAAGUAACUAUGCACGUCUUGACGGUACCUAAUCAGAAAGCCACGGCUAACUACGUG